UGCAAGUCGAGGGGAAACGACAUCGAAAGCUUGCUUUUGAUGGGCGUCGACUGGCGCACGGGUGAGUAACGCGUAUCCAACCUGCCCAUCACUUGGGGAUAACCUUGCGAAAGUAAGACUAAUACCCAAUGAUAUCUCUAGAAGGCAUCUGAAAGAGAUUAAAGAUUUAUCGGUGAUGGAUGGGGAUGCGUCUGAUUAGCUUGUUGGCGGGGUAACGGCCCACCAAAGCAACGAUCAGUAGGGGUUCUGAGAGGAAGGUCCCCCACAUUGGAACUGAGACACGGUCCAAACUCCUACGGGAGGCAGCAGUGAGGAAUAUUGGUCAAUGGACGAGAGUCUGAACCAGCCAAGUAGCGUGCAGGAUGACGGCCCUAUGGGUUGUAAACUGCUUUUAUAAGGGAAUAAGGUGAGUCUCGUGAGACUUUUUGCAUGUACCUUAUGAAUAAGGACCGGCUAAUUCCGUGCCAGCAGCCGCGGUAAUACGGAAGGUCCGGGCGUUAUCCGGAUUUAUUGGGUUUAAAGGGAGCGUAGGCCGGAGAUUAAGCGUGUUGUGAAAUGUAGAUGCUCAACAUCUGCACUGCAGCGCGAACUGGUUUCCUUGAGUACGCACAAAGUGGGCGGAAUUCGUGGUGUAGCGGUGAAAUGCUUAGAUAUCACGAAGAACUCCGAUUGCGAAGGCAGCUCACUGGAGCGCAACUGACGCUGAAGCUCGAAAGUGCGGGUAUCGAACAGGAUUAGAUACCCUGGUAGUCCGCACGGUAAACGAUGGAUGCCCGCUGUUGGUCUGAAUAGGUCAGCGGCCAAGCGAAAGCAUUAAGCAUCCCACCUGGGGAGUACGCCGGCAACGGUGAAACUCAAAGGAAUUGACGGGGGCCCGCACAAGC
rnacentral:rRNA from 1 species